UUCACCCCUUUUAGCCGUGCGUUUGCUUUGGAUAAGGUCUAGAAAAUGUAAUGGGCCGCUUCUUACCGGGCCUGCGAUGGAUCAAGCAGCACUAUUAUUAGGCCUUGGCUCAGCCCAUAAUUAUUCGGCCUCACGCAAACUCCGAAGGCCCUUCCAUGUUUUUUGCCAGGCUCUCCUUGUGAGCCACGCGAGGAAUAGGAAGAGGAUGAGACCGAUGAGGGGGCGGCGGGCUGUUCGAGAGCGGCGAACCCUAUACCAGGAAAACAGCACCACCUCCUUAACAAGUGAGACUGCAGAAUGACAAUUACAACAGUUGCAAAUACAUCAUCCAGGUCCGAUGUUGGUCGCCCCAGGAGCGAUUGUCGAUACGAUACUACUGUCUAGCAAGAGGUGCACGAUAACAGCCUAGCAGUGGUAAUCAACUGUUUUCGAGCCCUUACUGAGGAACACUGGCUGCUGCUCAGGGGAAAUGGCCAGACCAAUUCAAUUUUGCCCCCAAAUGGUGGCUGCUGAAGUGAAUGAACAACCCCCCAUGGUUUACAUUCUAUAUCAAUUCUACUACCCAACUUCUGUGAUAUCCCAAUACAAGUAAUUGUUUGAUCAACCAAUACAAGUUUGCCGUGCGACUGAAUCAAUCCUUUUCGACCUCAGGGUCAUGGUGGGGGGAGGGGCAAACCAAAAGCUGCCCAAGCUUUCGUAGCAUUUCUUCCACUUUAAACAUGUCUAGCAUUCCAACCUCUUUCGCCUUUCCAAGUUGUAAGCAACUGGGCAAGUCUGAUCCAUGGCAAUAUUUGAUGACACUUGGUUUCGCACUCAUUUGGAGUCAUUAGUUCUGUGAUUACUUUAAUCAAUCUCUUGAUUAAAAAAACCCUAAAAGACAUGUAUGUGACUGGAUGAUGCUGAGAGGCCUAAUGCUUCAUAAUAAUUUAUGUUGGAAUCUAGUUUGGAACUUAGCCAAGCAACCCAUGUCUUUAUGUUAGUUAAUUAAUUAUGUUUAAUUUUUACA